rnacentral:rRNA from 1 species
ACGGGUGAGUAAUACAUCGGAACGUGCCUAGUAGUGGGGGAUAACUACUCGAAAGAGUAGCUAAUACCGCAUGAGAUCUACGGAUGAAAGCAGGGGACCUUCGGGCCUUGUGCUACUAGAGCGGCUGAUGGCAGAUUAGGUAGUUGGUGGGGUAAAGGCUUACCAAGCCUGCGAUCUGUAGCUGGUCUGAGAGGACGACCAGCCACACUGGGACUGAGACACGGCCCAGACUCCUACGGGAGGCAGCAGUGGGGAAUUUUGGACAAUGGGCGAAAGCCUGAUCCAGCAAUGCCGCGUGCAGGAUGAAGGCCCUCGGGUUGUAAACUGCUUUUGUACGGAACGAAAAGCCUGGGGCUAAUAUCCCCGGGUCAUGACGGUACCGUAAGAAUAAGCACCGGCUAACUACGUGCCAGCAGCCGCGGUAAUACGUAGGGUGCAAGCGUUAAUCGGAAUUACUGGGCGUAAAGCGUGCGCAGGCGGUUUUGUAAGACAGUGGUGAAAUCCCCGGGCUCAACCUGGGAACUGCCAUUGUGACUGCAAGGUUAGAGUGCGGCAGAGGGGGAUGGAAUUCCGCGUGUAGCAGUG